AUGGAGUAGCGAAGGAAAGAUGGAGAGGCAGAGACAGUCCUAGUAGUGAUAGGGGGCAUGGUUUUGGACAUUCAAGCCACUUCUUCAAUUCCUCCACAUUUAAGAACCACUUGUCCUGGCCAGGUACACUAUGUACAAGGCGGCGUGGCCAGGAACAUAGUCGAAUGCAUGACAAACCUUGGAGCUCAACCCUUUAUGAUUAGUGCUUUGGGAUUUGACAUGCCAGGAAAUUUGUUGUUGGAGUAUUGGAAAUCUACAAGGCUACAGACAGAAGGCAUUAGGAAGCACCAAGAUGUUGAGACUCCCAUAGUCUGUCAUAUACUUGAUGUUACUAGAGAGGUGGCGGUUGGUGUUGCCAGUAUGGAAGCAGUUGAAAUGUUUCUUUCACCCGAGUGGAUUCAACAAUUCAAGCACACAAUACAUUCUGCUCUUCUAUUGAUGGUUGAUGCAAAUUUGAGUCGUCCUACUUUAGAAGUUGCUUGCCGACUAGCAGCAAAGUCAAACAUCCUAGUGUGGUUUGAGCCUGUAUUGAUUGCAAAAUCUAAAAGAAUUGCUCCGAUUGUAAAGUAUUGUUUUCUGCAUAUUACUUUUGCUUCACCUAAUAAAGAUGAACUAAUUGCUAUGGCAAUUGAAAGGAAUAAUUGUUCUACGGAUACUUUGUUCCUGAUGCUAAAACCAGCAAUCUGGCUUUUGUUGGAGAAAGUUGUCAAAAUUCUUGUUUUGACUAUUGGUUUAGAUGGUGUACUUUUAUGCACUAAAGGGGAAUCAAUCUUUGAAGAAUUUGUUUGGAAAAGAUGAAGUAACAUGGAUUUAGUUGACAGUUAUUUGAAAAUACAACAUCAACCUGCCCUUCAAAUUUGUAUUCUGAUUCUAAGGUUCUUAAGAGAAGCCCAAAUUUCUUAGCUAUGCAUUUUCUUGUACCCCCUGCAUCUGCUGUAAGGGUUACAGAAGCUGGUGAUUGUCUAGUCGAUGGAAUGUUCGCAUCCCUUUCUACAAGUUUAGAUGUGAUAUAAAGUGUAGCAAUUGGUAUAGCUGCAGCCAAAGCUUCGGUUGAGGUGGACAAUAAUGUAACUUCUUAAUUUAGUUUGCCAACAAUUACAGGUGAUGCUAGGAUUGUGUAUUCAGUUAACAAACUUUUGCAACAUCAAUCUAACUUGUAA